UUUUAUUUAAUUUACUUAAAAAUAUUUACUUGUCAAGUAAAAAAUCAAUAGGAU
rnacentral:tRNA from 1 species